UACGUAGGGGGCAAGCGUUGUCCGGAAUUAUUGGGCGUAAAGAGCUCGUAGGCGGCUCGGUAAGUCGGGUGUGAAACCCCCAGGCUCAACCUGGGGACGCCACCCGAUACUGCUGUGGCUAGAGUCCAGUAGGGGAGUGUGGAAUUCCCGGUGUAGCGGUGAAAUGCGCAGAUAUCGGGAGGAACACCAGCGGCGAAGGCGGCACUCUGGGCUGGAACUGACGCUGAGGAGCGAAAGCGUGGGUAGCAAACAGG
rnacentral:rRNA from 1 species